AUCCCUUAUGGUCUCGUCUUAUGAAAGUAGCCAUCGGGAGCAGGGGAAAAUCCAGCCAUAUUACUUGGCAACCACCACCACCACAAGAAACAGAUUCUGACUACUACAAGUGGGAAGAAUCAGAUUUGUCAGUUUUCUCAUGGCUCAUACAAAACAUGGAAGGAAAAUUAGUUACUAAUUUCGCACAACAUCAAACAGCGAAGGCUGUAUGGGACAGCCUAUCGGUGACUUACGGGAGUGGAGCCGAUCCGUUUCAGCUCUACGACUUAGAAGUAAAAGCCAACAAAGUAAACCAGGGUCAACUUACUUUGGAGGAUUACUGGAAUGAGCUUCAAAGAAUUUGGCUCACCAUCGACCGGAGGGAACCGAAUCCUCUCGGCUGCUGUGAGAAAGGAAUCAACAAAUAUAGGGAACUUAUCGCCAAUCGCCGCCUGUACCAAUUCCUCUCCGGAUUGGAUACCAAAUAUGCUGCAAUUAGAAGAGACAUCCUCAAAGAGACGCCCAUUCCCUCAGCCGAAUCGGCGUUCUCAAAAGUUAGACGAGAGGCCGCCCGGCUACAGAUCUUACAACCGGCAACCAACUCCACCGAAAAUACCGGCUCAUCAUCGGGAGAAAAGGGGCUGGACUCGCUUUCUCCCGCUACCAAUCUGGAACACAAGGCCGACCACCACACGCUGCCGGCACCACCGGCGGCAGAGGUCCCGGCAUAUCAUCAUCAAAAACAAAAGACAAAUCCAAGCUUGUUUGCACUCACUGUGGACUGACGAGGCACACCAAGGAGGGAUGUUUUCGCCUCAUAGGCUAUCCCGAAUGGUGGGAAGCAAAAGGGAAGGCAACGGCCGGCGGUGAUGGCCGAGGAACCGCCGGAUCGGCGGUAGCAGUGGGUAGUGCGAGAAUUCCGAGAGAGGAGGGGAAGAAAAUGCGACCGGUUACCCGACUGCCGGCGCGGGUUCUGGCGUUAACGGCCGAAAAAUCCAGAGAUCGGAGGCUCUUUGGGCGGCUGCCGGCGGCUCCGUCAGCGUAGAUGGCCGAGAUGGCCGAAGAUACAACAACUCGGCUGUUACCGGCGCCUUUGCCGGCGUUAAUGGCCGAACAACCGAGAAUUUUCAUGAAGGCGGAACCAAGGGAGAGAAAGUGGCGUGGGGAAUCGGUCAAAGGGAGGAAAAGGAGUGGGAAUCGGUCAAAGGGAGGCAAGAGGCGCAUGAUUUAGGUAUAGGGUUUGAUGAUUUUUCAUCAAACCCUCCCAUUUUUACCUUAUCUCAUUUUAAGUCCCCUAUUUUCAGUAAAUUACAAAAGAAACCCCAUUCUUUUGAGUCUAGUCCCUCAAGUUUAUGGAAAUCCCAAAAUGAACCCCAUGUUAUUAAAAACAGCCCAACAGUUAUGCCCAACUCAAUUUUUGACCCUAAACUAUCUGAAAAUUCGAAAAUAACCCAUACUGCAUGUCAAGUGUCAAAUAAACAAGUCAGUAGAAAAACAAAUUGGAUUUUUGAUUGUGGGGCUACAGACACUAUGACUUUUGACAAAUCAGAUAUACUUGAGUCAUCAAAAUCCUUUAGAACUCAUGUACAAACUGCUAAUGGUGACUUAACUCAAGUAGAAGGGGCUGGAACUAUAGAAAUCUCUCCAACCUUGCGAUUAUCCAAUUGUCUAUAUGUUCCGUCCCUAUCUCAUAAGUUGUUGUCAAUUAGUCAUGUUACUAAAGAACUCAAUUGUACCAUGCUAAUGCAUCCUCACUUCUGUUUUCUUCAGGAUAUCAGGACGGGGGAGAUUAUUGGGCGUGGCACUGAGCGGGAUGGAUUGUACUAUGUGGAUGAGAUAGCUCAACAAGGCAAGGUGAUGCUGGCUCACGGAACUGCUGACCGGGAAGCCUGGCUUUGGCACCGUCGGUUAGGGCAUCCAUCCAUGGGGUAUCUUAAGCUUUUAUUUCCUAAAUUAAUAAAAAAUGAUGAGAAUUUAUCUUGUGAGACUUGUGUUUUAGCUAAAAGUCACCGAAAAUCUUUUAAGCCUAAUGACACACAAGUAAACUCCAUAUUUUCUCUUGUUCAUUCUGAUGUUUGGGGUCCUUCACCCGUGGUAGGGGGACAAGGUUUUAAAUAUUUUCUGUUAUUUAUUGAUGAUUGUACUAGGAUGACAUGGGUAUAUUUUUUAAAACACAAAUCUGAAGUUUUUGAAAAAUUUACUCAUUUCCAUACUAUGGUUCAAACUCAGUUUCAGAAAAACAUCCAAACCCUUAGAACUGAUAAUGGGGGGGAAUUUGUUAAUAAUUCCAUGAAAAUAUUUUGUCAAACAAAAGGGAUUAUUCAUCAAACUACUUGCCCCCACACUCCUGAACAAAACGGAGUUGCCGAAAGAAAAAACCGAAUUUUACUUGAAAUGACUCGUUCUAUGAUGAUUGAGUCUCAUGUUCCCUCCUCGUUUUGGCCCGAGGCCGUGGCAACCUCGGCUUACCUUAUUAACCGUCUCCCUACUAGGACUCUUAAACUUCAAACACCAUUACAGAAAUUGUCUACUCUGGCCUCCAUACCUCUUGCCCUUACACUUCAACCACGGGUCUUUGGGUGCUCUGUUUUCGUUCACAUUCCUAAACAUGAACGCACCAAACUCUCUCCUUGUGCAGUCAAGUGUGUGUUUGUAGGAUAUGGAGUUAAUCAAAAAGGAUAUAGGUGUUACAAUUCCAAAACCCGUCAAAUCAUCACCACCAUGAACUGUGAUUUCCUUGAAACUGAGUAUUUUUACGAUAACCACCUUACCAGUCAGGGGGAGAGUGAGAGUGAGAUCGACUUGUUAAGUUGGUUACCAAUGCCAGUCCCGGAAGCAGAUCCAACAGAAAAAGUUAACCUAGCCACCGAGCUUACUUCAUUCACAUCUGAGCAAUCCAAUCCACCGCCGCCCCAAAUAUCUUCUUCGCCACUGAUAUCUGAGGUAAGAGAUUCUGAACCUAUUACUAUGAUUUCGGGUUCUACUGAUCCUGUUUCUCAAGUGGUUGAAGAAGAAGAACAGGAAGUACAGGAGGAGCAUACCAUGGGUGCAGACAAGGAAAGAUAUGUGUUACCCCCUAGAAGUACUCGAGGAAUUCCUCCUAAACGUUAUUCACCAGAAAAGUUUGGGAAGAACUCUCGGUAUUCUAUUGGGGGUAUCGCCAAAGGGAACCUAUCCAAAACUGCCGCUGCCUAUGAAGUAGCUUUGUAUGACGAAGAGAUCCCAAAGAAUGUGGAACAGGCCAUAAAGAUUCCACAUUGGAGAGAUGCCAUGAAGAAAGAAAUAAGUGCACUGAAUCGAAACCAUACAUGGGAGAAGUGUAGACUACCAAAGGGGAAGAAAACUGUAGGAUGCAAAUGGGUCUUCACAAUCAAAAGGAGACCGGAUGGAUCUAUUGAGCGUUACAAGGCUCGAUUGGUCGCAAAAGGAUACACACAGAUGUAUGGGAUCGACUACGAGGAGACCUUUUCACCUGUUGCAAAGAUGAACACUGUCAGAGUGCUCCUCUCAAUUGCUGCUAAUAAGGACUGGGAUCUUCAUCAGUUCGAUGUUACAAAUGCUUUCCUUCAUGGAGAGCUUGAAGAAGAUAGAGAAGUCUACAUGGAGGUGCCUCAAGGUUUUUCAGGAGAUUUUGGAGAGGGUGAAGUUGCAAGUUGAAGAAAACCUUAUAUGGACUCAAACAGUCUCCCAGAGCCUGGUUUGGGAGAUUCACAGCAGCUAUGAAGAAAUUCGGGUACCAGCAAAGCAAUUCAGACCACACCUUAUUCUUGAAGAAACGAGGUGAUCUUAUUUCUUGCUUAGUCAUUUACGUUGAUGACAUGAUCAUAACAGGGGAUGACUUAGAAGAAAUCCAGAAGUUGAAAGCGAAUCUUUUCAAGGAGUUCGAAAUGAAGGACCUUGGGAGACUAAAGUACUUCCUCGGGAUCGAAGUACUCAGAUCGAGGAAAGGGAUUUUUAUCAAUCAGAAGAAGUAUACUCUUGACCUUCUUGCAGAAACUGGGAUGCUAGAUUGCAAGCCAGCUGAGACGCCUAUGGCUGUCAAUCAUGGGCUACAGAUUGUGGAAGGAGCUCAGUUAGCCGAUAAAGGACAAUAUCAGCGUCUGGUAGGGAAACUAAUCUACCUUUCUCAUACUCGACCUGACAUUGCUUAUGCUGUUGGUGUUGUUAGUCAAUUCAUGCACCAACCACAGGCUGACCACAUGGAAGCUGCGCUAAGAAUUGUGAGAUAUUUGAAGAAACUUUUGAUAUGGAGUCUGUUCAAAAAGACUGGACACCUUGAGAUACAAGCUUACACCGAUGCUGACUGGGCAGGAAACCCGAAUGACAGAAAGUCAACAGCUGGAUACUUUGCAUCUGUGGGAGGAAAUCUUGUCUCAUGGAGAAGCAAGAAACAAAAGGUGGUUGCUCUCUCAAGUGCAGAAUCAGAAUUCAGAGGAAUCAAGAGUGGGUUAACGAAGUCCUUUGGCUAAGAAGAUUGUUGAUGGAAUUAGGCCUUCACCCAACAAAGACGUGCCAAAUGUACUGCGACAACAAGGCUGCCAUCAGCAUAUCUGAGAACCCAGUUCAACAUGAUAGAACUAAACAUGUCGAAGUGGAUAGGCACUUUAUCAAGGAGAAGAUUGAGGAAAAGAUUGUGGAGCUCCCGUUUGUGAGGUCGAAGAUCAGCUGCGAUAUCCUAACCAAGGCUGUGGACUUCAAAAGUUUUUCAGAAGUUCUUCAAGUUGAGUAUCGGAAUCCCGUCACUCAACUUGAGGGGGAGUGUUGAAAAUACAAAGUCAUAGAAAGCAUGCAUUCAAAGUCAGAAACAUACAAAGAAAUAAAUGUACAAAGUCAGGAAUGAACAAAAAUCCCUUAAUCAUAGGGAUUUUUGUUUGACUAUCAUCUCACCCGUUGUAGUAUAAAAUGAAUGAUUGUAAAUCAAACAAUAUCAAGAAAUACAACAACAAUCAUCUUGCUUCUCUCUUUAUUCUCUGCAUUAUGAUGAUACCAUGUUUUAACACACUUAAAACACUAAUCUAUAAUUCUUUAAUUUCUGUGUCGAAAUCAAACAUGUCAAGAUUCGUGGGACGGAGGGAAUAUUUCUUUAACACUUCGAACGCAAUACAAACAUACGCCAAGAAGAUUUUGAUUAAAAUAUUUAAUGUGUAUCAAACGAAAUCAAAUGUUGGUUUUUACAAGAUUUGUAGUUCCAAGCAACUUGUGAAAUCAAAUACUAUAUGAUUGAGACUUGUGUUGUGUCUAUUGGAUAUUUCUAGAUAAUACAGUUACAGGAAAAUAAAAUAUUACCCCACAUGUUUCAACAGAAUUAAGUUCAUAGAAUAAUUCACUAUUCAUGAUAGAGAAAUAAAAUAAUAAAUACAUUUAAAUUAAUUGAUCCUCGAAAUCUCAAUCAUCAUGCAAAAUGUUUUUGCUCUCAAUCAUUCAAUAAGCGUCUUCGGACUUUGAUCCCACACAGAAACAGAGCUAGAAUUUUAAAAAUCUAAAUUACAUUUUUAUAUUUGGAAACAAGUUUGGACGGAUGAAUUAUAAUUUUAUAUAUAAAAAAUUUAAAAAAGUUAUAUUUGGAAACAAAUUUUGAUAAAUAUAUUUUUUUUAAAAAUCUCUUCUAUUUUAUUAUAAAUUAUUUGUUUAAUAUUCGUGCUCAAGUCUUAUAACCUACUGAAUUGGGAUGGAGAGAGUAUACUACAACUUAAAUAUAAUAAUUUAAAAGAAUUCCGAGACGAUUGUCAAGUUGUGUUUGGGGCUUGGCUCCAUCCCUGAAUAGAUACAUUGAUUGCAUAUAAAAUAUACUUCCUCCAUCCUUAUUAUAUAUAGACUUAUUUUCCUUUUACGGAUGUCCCAAAUAUAUAGGCUCGUUUUCACAAAAAGCUAUGCAUUUUUAGCUCAUUUAUAAAUAUAAUCCUAUUUAAUUCUUUGAUUAACUCUAAUAUUAAUGAAUUGUCAAAAAUAAAAAUGGGUUCUGAAGGAAUUUUUUUAUAUAUUUUAUUUUUCAAUGAUUUUUCUCAAUUCUUGUGCAAAAUUCUUGAUCGAAAAGAUUAUAAUUUAACAGUCGAAGUAUUGAGCUUUGAAGGAAAAUAUUUCGUGAGAAACUUAGCUUGGAAUACAAGAACAAAAGUACAAGUGGACACGAUCGAGAAUUUGAUUCGUUGUAAGAGAGGGUGAGAUUGUGUAGUUUACAUGUCAAUUUAUUAUUACAUUCAACUGGGGUAUGUAUAAUCUUGUCGCCUUCUAGUUUAAAAGUCAAAUUUUCAAAGUGCACAUUUUAUGCCUAAAAUUAACAUUUUUGGAUCAAUCAUCGAGACAUCGAGUAGUAUAUGAAUAAAAGGGUUGACAUAUAAUUGUAUUCGUAAGUCUAUAUAACUAGGGAUGUCAGUGGGUGGGUAUUACUCGGACCAAAACUGUUAAAAUUAUUACAGUUCUAGAUCCAGAAUCGAUCCAUUGCUUAAUGGAUCCGCACCGAACCGGACCAUUAAAUUAUAAAAUAAAAUGGUUCGGGUAGGUCAAUUACCCAUGGGUCUGAUAAUACCCGUGGAUCCAAUAAUACCCUUAUUCGUUUAUCACAUUUAUAAUUGUUUAUUCCAGAAAAGGAAACCAUCUCCUCUCACGAAAAAUUGUGGGCUAUAUCAUUUUUUUCACUUUUAUCCUUUAAUUUAUCUGCUUCUUAAUAAUUGUGCCGAAUAGUAAUGAGUCAUUAUCAAUGCGACGAGGGAGUACAAAAUUACUAAUCUAACCCAUUAUGGUCAUUUAGCACUACUCUUUUAGAAAAUAAUCCAAUGAAAAAAUUAGGAAAAUUGUCAUAUUUUUAUGAAAUAUCAAAUAUAUGCACAAGAUAUGGAUAGGUCUACUUCUUGAUGAAAGAAAUCCACAUGAAAAUUUCUGGGAAAUUGGCAAAUUUAUCUGAAAUAUCGAAACUUUGCACAAGCUAUCGAUGUCGACUUUUUGAUAAUUUUUCAAUGAUUCUGAGUACUAGAUAGCGACGAAGUUUUGCUGGCCAGUUAAUUGAUCACAUUUUAUUAAUGAAAGGGCUUGGAUUAAUAUUAGUGUGGAUAAGGGGUUAUUCUUCACUUGGAAGAAAAGUAGAAAAGAGAACAAAUAUAGUGAUAAUUCGAUUGUUGGUUGUCAUAGUAAAUCAAUUGAAAUCUUCUACUAUUACCUUCUAAUGUAACAUCUUUCAUUGCAUUCGUAUAUGAUUCACACAUUCUACUACUAAGGGUUUAUAAUUUAUAGAAGAAAAUAUACACCUUAAUAUCAAGCAAAUCUAAAUACUAAUAUAUGCAAUAUACACACAAAUUUACAAUAGAGGAUCUUAAAUGAUAAUAGUAACUAGGAGAGAAAAUAGGAUUUGUUGAAACUAUAAACAUGGCCAAAUUUUUUGUUGUAAUUGUUGUUGUUGUUCCUAACCUUUAUACGAGGAUUUGGUGGUAGUCAGCAAAACACAAUUAAGCAAGCCAGCAACACUGAGUUUUACAGAUGCAAACAGUGAGCAUAACAACUUAAAGAAACCACACCAAAAUGAAACAACACAUAUUCUCAUUCCACCACGACUAAAAAACUUCAAGAAACUCUAAUUUUUGAAAUGUGUGAAAUUCACUCCAAAGCUCUCCACUCUCCUUGUUGUAGAGCUGAUGCAGAAGCGGACAGCCGUCGAUCCGCAGCUUCCUCAACGGCGAGCCACGGAGGAGGAGUGGCGGCAGGGCCCUCACCCUCCCGCAGUGCGCGAUCUUCAAGCACCGGAGGCGAGGCAUCGCAAUGCUGCUCAUCUCACCCCACUCCUCCCACCUCUCCAUCUUGGAAAUCUUGAGCUUCUUCAAGCUCGGGAAGGCCGCCUUGGCGCCUCCUUCAUUUGCCUCAAGGCACUUGAUAGCGUUCAAGCCCUCCAAAUGGAGCGUCACAAGCAGCGGCAGCCGGCCUAGAGGAGGCAGAAUCGCGCAGUUUUGGCAGUCUUGAAGGAAGAGUCUCUCCAGCUUGGUGAGCUUCAUGAUCCACAUGGGAAGCCUUGUGCCACCAUACGACGUGAUCUGCAGUGACUGUAGGCUCUCGGGUGCGUCUAGGGCUUCGAUCACUGCAUCCUGGCUCGGAUUCUUGGCGAUCAGAGGGCUGAAAUCCAUCUCCAGAUCAGAGAGGUGCGCCUUUUUCCCCAGCUCGGCUCUCUUGGCCUCAGCCGCGUCCCCUGCAAACCCGAGCCCCUCGAUCUUCAAACAACCUCGAAGGUCGUUCAAACUCUGCAGCUCCACAAGCCCACAAGCAUCAGCAUUGCUUCUGUCAUUCACAGAAGUGAUGAUGAACUUGUUCAAAGUCCUGAGUGAGGCCAGCUCUGCUACCCCCUUUGGCAGCAUUUUGAGGCUGCUAGUCCUAUCGAUCUCAAGGUGUCGAAGAUUCGAGAGUUUCUUGAUUUUUGAAGGCAAUCUACGGAGAUGAUCGCAGGCAGAGAGCUUCAAAGUCUGCAGAUAAUACAGAUUACACAAUGUCUCAGGCAGUUCCCAAAAUGGAUUGUGUGAUAAGUUCAAAUGCUUCAGCUUGAUCAGAUUGCCUAUCUCCUUAGGCAGCUCGCCUAGCCGGUUGCGACUGAAAUCCAGCGCCCGGAUGCAUUGGAGACGGCGUAUGAAGUCGGGAUCAACGCGGUCGGGCUGGGAUAUGAUGGGAGGGGAGUCAUAGAAGGACUGAACCCACAAUGUGAAGAGCUUCUCCACAUUGGGGACACUGGGGAACUGGCUGUCUUCUGCACGAACCACUGUAAGGUGUCGGGCCCUCCUGUGCGAGGACUCCAUCUUCCGUUGGAGAUCCGCGUUGAACUCGACCACAGAGCACUCGUUCUUUGCGAUGUAGUUCGCGAAAUCAUGGACCAUAUCAUGCAUCUUCACACUCACAAUCCUCUCCCCAUUAGUAUUCCUCUCCCUCACCACAUCUUGGAAAAAAGACCUCAUUGCUAGGGCUUGCAAGUAGUCCUGCCCCACUGCUUCCUCCUCGAUUGGGAACAGUUUGUUCCCAGUCGAGGCGAGAUAGCCCUGUGCCAUCCAGAGCUGCACGAGGUUGCUGGCCUGGAUGACAUGGUCCUUGGGGAAGAACGCACAGAAUGUGAAGCAACGCUUCACAUUCGAUGGGAGGUCAUAGUAGCUCAACAUCAAGGGAGGGAAGAGGCCCUUGGCCUCCUCCAGCACCCAAAACUCGCUACUCAGCACGUCCUUCCAGUCGUUCAACGACAUUUUGAAUCUCAUCAAGCUGGCUAUAGUCUUGAUAGCCAGGGGCAACCCCUCGCACUUCUCGGCUAUCUUCCUCCCGACCUCCUCAAACCCCUCGCGCUUCAUCUCCAAAAAUGCGAUCUUCUCAAACAAGGUCCAAGAAUCCAACACAGAGAGCCCUCCAAGGUAGAGCGGGUGGCGAGCACCCAUGGUCCUCGCCACGCUCUCCUUCCUCGUGGUCACGAGGAUCGUGCUACCGGCUUUCCCAUUCUUGAGGGAAUUAAAAAGCUGCUCCCACUUCCUAAACUCCUCAGUCCAAACAUCAUCCAAAACCAACAAAAACCUCUCCCCCUCCACAUAGUGCCUAAUCCUGGUCACCAAUGUCUCAAGCUCAAACAAAUAAGGCGCACUACCUUCAAUCACUUCCAAAAUGGCCCUCGCGAUCCGAACCUCGUCAAACGGGUCGGACACACAGACCCAUAUCGCUCUGUCAAAAUGGUUAACCACCUCGUCACAGUUGAACGCCAGCUGUGCGAGGGUCGUCUUGCCGACCCCACCCAACCCCACUAUAGACACCACAUUUAGGCCCUUUUCUUGGUCCCCAUCACAAACCAAUCUACCAAUCAAAUCCUUCUUAUCCACAUCCCUCCCUUCCACCUCGGCAUCAUCAAUAAACGACGCUGUUUUGGGACUCUCCAAAACCUCAUUGCUCGAAACCUCAUUAAAUUUAUACCUAUCUUUCUCAGCAGCAAUAUCCGCAAGCCUCUCGUUGAUUUUCUUGAUCUUGAUCGCUAUUUCGCGACGAAAAGCCACUCUCUCGUAGCCGAAGCAAGGCAUGGUGAAAACAGAGGUUACCUGACAAUGAAGCGCAGCUCAAUUGAUAAGACAGUUUCCUUCCAACCAGAACACAAGAAUGGCAAGGGGGGCUUAAGCCCCCACCAAAUGUNUUUUUUAUUUAUUCUUUUAAAAUCGUCAAAUCAUCAAUAUAUUGUGUGAAUUAUUGUACAAUUACCCCUCACCAAAUUAAAGCAUAGAAGUUUGUCUUUUAGAAAUCUAACUUAAAUUCUAGAAAAUCUAAUUCCUAUCAUAGGAUUGAGUCAUUACAGGAAAAUUAGGAACAAUUACUAAUCAUCUUUAUAAAAUAAAAUAAAUAAGAAAGAGAGAGAGAGACUACCUUUCUAGAGCGAGAAGAUCGGCUGCUCCCGUCGCUUUUUUCCAUCUCUGCUUUCUGCAUUGCUGAGAUCCAUUCCGACAGAACAUCCUCGGUGUCGUAGGAUACAUCCUUAAGCUUCUCGAGCCAGACUUUGACGGCCUCUUCCUUGACCUGCCGCUUUUCUGCGUCGGCGAUCACUGCUUUGAUCGACUCGAAUUCGCUCUUGAGCCUCUUGAAUUGGUUCCCGACGCCGCACACUAAACUCAGCUCUUCGCGAAUCUGUUUUUCCAUGAUUGUGCCGACCUGCGUUAGGAUAACUGUAAUAACUGCAUCGGACAUGGUUGGAAAUGGCGGUUGGUAGAGUUAGAGAGAGAGAGAGAGAGAAAGAGAGAGAGAAAACUGGGAUUUGGACAAAGAUUUGUUGUAAGAGUGGUGGUGGAAUCGGGAAAAGGUUGCUACAGCUUUUUUAUGUUUUUCUUGGAGAUGUUAAAUGUUAAAUAUUAGCAACAAGAAAUUUGCGAGGAAAAAGAUUUGGGAAUUGAAUGUGAAAUUUGCGUGGGUUUCGUUUUUUUCAAGGAAAUGGCUAAACGAAGACUUACGAGACGACCCUCUUUCCUUCCUUUCUUUAUUUUCCCCUUUCCGUGUUUUUGUUAGGUAAACUCAAGCGUGUGAGGAUUGUUAAAAGAAGUAAAAAUAAGUAUUAAAUGUCAUAUUUAUUACUCCCUCCGUCCCGCGAGUCUUGACACGUUUGGGUUCGGCACGGGAAUUAAGGAGUUGUAGAUUAGUGUUUUAAGUGUGUAAUUAAUAAAGUAUAAAAUUGAUAAAGUAGGAGAGAGAAGGUAAUAAAAGUGAUAAAGUAGGAAAGAGAAUAUAAUAAAGGUGAUAAAGUAGGAGAGAGAAAGUAAUAAUUAUUGCCAAAAAAGGAAACGUGUCAAGAUUCGUGGGACGGCCCAAAAAGGAAAACGUGUCAAGACUCGUGGGACGGAGGGAGUAAGUUGUAUGUUAAAAAUGUCAUAUUUAUUAAACUUUAAUAUUUUAUGUCCAAAUUUAAGUGUAGAACUUAUUUUAUCCUUUGAUGUUGAUGGAUUUACUUGAUUUUUUGUGAAAGUUUUAUACAUUUGACCAAUUUGACAGUUACUCCCUCCUAUCCUUUUUGUUUGUCAUUCUAGCAUUCUCAAUUAUUUAUGUUUUAAUUGACGUUUUGAAAUUUUAUCCCAAUCUUAACCUUAUUUAAUAUCCUGCAUUAAUCACAAGUAAAAUGACUUUUUCCUAUUUCUUCUAGUUUUUGUGAUGGAUCGCCUCUUUUUUCACCAAAUAAAUGUUGGGUUAAUUAAUACUCCAUCAAAAUAAGUGAUGUUUAAUAAGGUUAUGUUUGGCAUAAUUAUUUUUUAUUAAAAAAUGUGCUUGAGCUUAGUGAAAGACUUAACAUUUGAGGAAUUUGAGGGAGUAUUAGUUAACGAUUUGACAGCUAUCAGUUAAGAGUACAUAUGACCGGUGGGUGGCUAAAUUAUCUGACCGCACGGGAGGUCAAAUCAUUUCACCGAACGGUCACAUGAUUUUACCGACCGAUCUGAUGAUCCGGCCGGUAAAAUUAUGUGACCGCCCGGUGAAAUGAUUUAACCGCCUAGGCGGUCAGAUAAUCUAACCAUCCACCGGUUAUAUGUACUCUUGACUGAUAGCUGUCAAAUCGAUCAAAUGUGUAAGACUUUUACAAAAAAUAGAAAGCUUAUGAUUAUAAAUAGGGGUGGAAAAUCGGGUUGCGGGUAUCGGGUAUACCUUCACCCGUCCUGAUACCCGCGCGGGUAUUGGGUACCCGAUACCCGCAAAAUUCGGGUGGAGGGUCGGGUGCGGGUAUCGUAUCCUCAAAAAUUGCGGGUAGAGGGUACCCGCGGGUAUACCCGCGGGUACCCGCAUACCCGCAAUAAAUAUUUAAAAAAUAAAAUUAAAUAAUUUUAUUUAAUAAUAUUAGGAAUUAAACCAAUUAACCAAAAUUAAAUAUUAGGAAUUAAACCAAUAAAUAUUAGGAAUUAAACCAAUAAAUAUUAGAAAUUAAACCAAUAAUAUUAGGAAUUAAACCAAUUAGGAAUUAAACCAAUAAAUAUUAGGAAUUAAACCAAUAAAUAUUAUGAAUUAAACCAAUAAUAUUAGGAAUUAAACCAAUAAUAUUAGGAAUUUUAUUUAAUAAUAUUAGGAAUUAAACCAAUUAACCAAAAUUUAAAAAUAAAAUUAAAUAAUUUUAUUUAAUAAUAUUAGGAAUUUUAUUCGUCACAGGUUUUAUGAAUAAUCGAUGAAAUAGAAAUGAUAUUUUCAAUUUUUUUUGUGAAAUGCGGGACAAAAUACUCUCUCGCGGGACGAAAUACCCUCUCGCGGGACGAAAUACCCUCCAGCGGGACCAAAAACCCGCAAAAUUACAAUUAAAAAAAAAAUCGCUGGACUGUGAGGGUACCCUCAUACCCGCAGCGGGUAUCCGCUGCGGGUAUUCGGGUACCCGCAUCGGGGAAGAGGGUCGGGUGAGGGUGCCGUUUUCGGCAGUUUUCGUCCCGAGGGUACCCGCAUUUUGCGGGUAGGGUACCCGCGGGUACCCGAUUUUCCACCCCUAAUUAUAAAAGAGGGCAUUUUUCAUAUAUAACUUACACAAAAACUCCUGUGAAAUAUUGAUCACUAAUUUCUUAGCAACAAGAAUGACUGUAGCUAACACAGGUAAUUGUAGCAAGCAACAAGUAAUCGAGUAUCGUAUCCAUAGGGACUGAAAAACGAAAUCACUCUAGCUAUCUCCUAAACAAACUAUAACAGUAGACAUGCAAACGAAUAAAAAGAAGGUUUGAUUGACUUAAACUAAAACGCAAAUAGCAAUAAAUAAAAGCACGUAGAAGAAUCAAAUAUUAAAGACAACUGAUCCUAAGGUAGUAAAUUCAUUAACUAAAUCCACGCAAUAAAUCUAUUAAUCCUAUGUAUCAGUUUAAUCCAGUUAUGAUGAGAGAUCACUUAAUUAAUCAAUCACUCUCGCUAGAGCAGCAACGAUCGUAGAUUAGUAAAUUCUCUAUCUCCGCUAGGUCUCAAGAAAAUCUACUAACUCACAAUAGCUCAUAAGAAUAGCUCCCUAUAAUCCACCUAUCUUCGCUAGGUCUCAAGGUUAAGAUCAUAUCAUACAUUCCUGAAUCCACUAAACAGUUAUCGCCGCUAGGUCUCAAACCGAAUAGCUACACAUGCAAAUUAUUGGCCAGAUAAUCCACAAGAAAUUAAGCACCAGGAAUUAUGAAUCAUAAACUGGAAGGUAAAUAGGUACUAACAAAUAAAUCACAUAAAUUCAAUCAACUAUUUACAAACCCUAGAAUCAGCUAAACGAAACUAGCCAGACAUAAUAAAAUAAAACAUAAACAUAAUUAAAAAGAAAGCAAUUGGAAAAACUAAAUUAUAUAAAAACUGAAUAAGAACGAAUGUAGCAGCUUGAAUCUUCAAUCUUGUAGAAAUCCAAUCCAAGCAGUAAAAACUGGAAAGCAAUAAAUUCUAAAGCUAUGAAAUUGAAAAAUAAGAGUUGGAAACUGAAAAAGGAAUCCAAAAUAGGUCAAAAGAAGACCUAUUUAUAGUACCAUGGUAAAAUACAGAGUUUAAGCUCGAAAAGGACUUGAAAAACGCAUAAAAAACGCAAAAACACGGAGGCGCGGCGGUCUGGCGGCGAUCGGACGGCGCUCACCGCGCGAACGCCGCUGGCGCCGAAAACUCGGCGGGCUGCCCAGCGGUCGCCGCCCGGUCGCUGGCUCCUUCACAAAUUUCCUUCUUCACCGCCGCCCCGGUUGCCGCGGGGUCGCCGCUGUUUCGCUGCUGCGCGCGACUUUCUUGGUUUGGUCAUAACUUUCUCUUUUGAACUCCGAUUUAUGAUCCGUUUGCGCUCACGAACUCGUAUCGAGACGAUCUACAACUUCUAUUUCAGAUAAGUUUUCGAAAUUCGAACUAAAUAAACCUGAAAUUUCCUUCAAAGUUCGACUAAGAAUCAUGUUUCAAAAGAUAAAGCAAAUUAAGCCCAAAACAAUCAUCCAACACUCAAUUUCUUAUAAAAUUAACAUCAAAAGAACAUUAAAAACCAUGGAAACAUGAGUGUUAUCAGAAAUCGAUUUUAUAGUGAAACCGGCUUCAUAAUGACACUACUUUAACAUACACUAUUGUAUCAUGAUAAAGUAUCAUUUGUAUGUUAAAAUAGUAUCAUUGUGAAGCUGAUUUCACCAUAAAACCGAUUUCACAAGAGACCACCUCUAUAACUUAAGAAAUAUGACAUUUUAAAUUUUCACUCUAAAAAUAAGGAUGAUUUGCAAAACUAUCAACCUAUUAAAAUAUGUCUACUAAAUAUACCUAAAUUUAUUAUUGUCUAUAUUUUUAUAUCCAUUUCUUUGUUUUUAAUAUUUGUUUGUCAAAUUAGAUCACGAACAAAUGAUGUGUGUCAGGAACAAAUUAUUGCAUGGAUGAUUGUACCAUAAUUUAUAGGGUGAUUCUAUACAUGUCCCCAUUUUAGCCCCCAUUUUAAUAAAAUAAUAGAAAUAUAUAAUAAAUUUACUAUUGUAUCCCCAUAACUCAAUUAAAAUUUUAUUCAGAUAACAAUUUUCAUUAUAGCCCCCAUGAAAUUUCUAAGCACGGUGGACAAAUUCACAAGAUCAAUCAAAUUUGUAACUUUUUUGGGAUUGUCUGCAACAUCCUUUUUCAAUCUUUGCUGAAGCAUUUCUCUGAAUUUACUAGUAUAUUUCAAGUACCUAAACUCACUUCCCUAAAAAAAAAAAAAAAAAAAGUACCUAAACUCACACCAGCUGCUUGAUUCUGAUUGUGGAACAAAUUGAGAGGCCUCACAGAGCCUUUGUCAAGGUUUGUUUGCAACUGUGAAUUAUUAACAAUUCACUUGUGCAUGUAAAGUGAGAAUGAAACCUCGAAUUUACAUUUCACUAGAAUGCUCGAAACCCUCAUCAGUCAUCAUAUUCAUCGCACGGGGCCGGCCCUUCUUCGUGAAUCCGACAAUCACUUCUAUAAUCAACAACUUUAUGACGAAGAAGGCAACGACGAUACUGCGCAUGAGAGGUUGUUUUCCUGCAUCAUCAAAUGAAAUCCUUCAACAAAGUGUCUGCAGUCAUUGCCUUCCUCUAACUCUCUUCUUCUCGCAGAUUGUGGCACUCCAGUAACCACAGGGAAUCUGCAGAUUAAAAUUGGGGAGAUAUCUCAUAAAAAUGGGCUACGAAUGGUGGGGAUAGAGUAGAAUUUUAAUUUGGGGCUAUAAGGAUAGUGUAGUUAAUUUAUUAAAUUGUUAUUAAUUUUUUUAAUGGGGAGGCUAUAGUGAGUAAAAUGGGGACUACGAAUAGAAUUACCCUAAUUUAUACUUAGCGUCUAAAUCAUUUGUCUUACUUCGCUUGGCAUACUUUGAACUUGUGCCGAGGAAUAUUUGCUCAACAUAUGCGCCCGAAAUAAUUUGCUCACAUUUGCUUAUUUUAUUUUGGGUCAUUGUCGCCUAAAUACCUCAAUUUUGAAGGUAAUUUAAUUGUACACAUGAACUUUGAAAGAUGUAAAAAUACAUAAACUUUGAUGUUGUAGUAAUUUUUAUCACAAAUUCAAAUUUUAGAUAUUCGAACUCUAUAAAAAUCUUACGAUUUACGGGUUUAGUGAUGUCUUAUACGAUAUAUUUUAGAGAAGUUCUAUACGAUGUUAUUUUUCAAAACUUCCGAAGAAUACACGUCAAUAUUUCGACUUAUCAUGUCAGCUUUAAUUUGAGCAAAAAUUGAAUUUGUGACAAAAUUGUUACAACGUUAAAGUUCAUGUACUAUUUUUUAUACCUUUCAAAGUUUAUGAGCAAAAUCAAACUACUAAAAAAUUGGUGUGUUUAGAUGCUAAUAACCCUUUUAUUUUUUCAAUUUAUGUGCUCAUUUUUUCUAGUUUACACUACAAGAAAACAUGCAUCAUGCUACCUAAAAUAACGACCGAAAUAUUUGAUCGCUAAACUUACGGGCCUAACGACCGUUUUUUUUUUUUUAAAUUAACGACCGAAUUUAUUUAUUUAAUAUAUCUUUAAAAAAAUUAUUUUAACGACCGAUUUACACUGUCGUUAAGACCUAACGACUCCUAACGACUGGUAUUCGGUCGUAACGUAUUUAUUUUAAUUUUUUAUUUAAUUUUAUGUUAACGAUCGCCGAUAACGGUUGUUAGUUUUGUAAUUUUACUGUAUAUUUUUAAUAAUCGGUUUAUAUUAACGACCGUUUCACACACAGUCGUUAAUUAUAAUUUAAAAUUAUUUUUAAAUAAUAAAUAACGAUCGUUUUCGGUCGUUAAAUAAUUAAAAUUAAAAAAAAAUAAAUUAAUAAGCAACGACUAUUUGUGAGACGGUCAUUAGAUAAUAUACGAUUUAAAUUUAAUAAUAUCAACGACCGUCUAUUUUCGGUCGUUAAUAAAACACGAUUAAAAAAACAAUUAAUUAAUGUUUUAACGACUGAAUUUCAGUCGUUGGUUUAAAAUUUGGUUGUUAAAAAUGCGGGUUAAACUUAGGGUUUUAUCCUUUCUUCUCCAUUUCAAUUUCACCCGAUUUCUUCCUCUGUCCCCCGCCGAUUUUCCGAACGCCAUGCCGCCCGUUGAUUCCCGUCGUCCGCGGCAAAUUCCUCCGGCAAACGAAGACGUCGCACCGUCGCCCACUAUUGCUGUGCGCGCCACUCCUGCCCCUGCCUCCGACCGUCGCACGCUACCGCUCGUGCCCACACCGGAGACGCCCCCUCCAGCCCCUGCCCCUGCCCUUGCCUCUGCCGGAAGUCGGAGACGUUCAUCGCUGGUAAGUUUAGGUUGUGUGUGUGUGUUUAUUAUAUGCAAUUUGUGAUUUUUUAUUAAUCUCACAGCCACGCCUACGCCGGAGAUACCCUGACGACGCCUAACUGCCACUGCCCUCGCCGGAACGUUGUGCCAUCGCCGGAUCUGCCCUUUUUCCGGUUAGUUUAUGAAUAUAUGUUAGAUUUUUAAGUUUAAUUUUAAUUUAGGGUUAGAUUAUGAAUGUAUGUUAGGUUAUUUAUGUUGAUUUUACAAUGAAUUAUGUUAAAUUUGUCCCUAUGUGAUUAUGAAUUGUGUUGUUUGUAAUUAUAUGAUCAUUAUAAUUGUGAUGUUGUAAAAACUUAGUUUGGUUGAUGUAAUGAUAGAUUUAGUUGAAGAACUUAGUUAGGUUUAUUUUUAGUUAGGAUCAUCUUUAUACUAUGUAUAUAGGUUAAGGAGUUUACUUAACAUCUUUUAACCUUAGGGUGGCUCCAAUCAUAAACUACAUUUUGAAUUUUUAAAGUGCCACAUCAGCUUUAGAAAUUCACCUACUUUUUCUCUUACAUCUCCUCCAACAAUAAAUCAGUUUCUUACUUUUUAUAGGUCCCACUAUAAUACUUACUCCAUUUUUAUAUAUCUAUAUAUACAUUAAUUGAUGAAAUGGGCCCCUCCACUAUCGGUUGAAAUCAACAAAAUUGAGAAAAUGAGACCCGCGUUGUCAGUCAAAAACUGGUUAUCGCGCAGAUGCAGGCACAGAUCGUGAUGCUCAUGCGAUCAUAUCGACCACCGAAUAGCUCUGAUGCCUCGAAUGCGACUAGGGGUGGGAAGAUAGGGUUCGGGUAUAGGGUACCCGAUUACCCGACCCGAAAAAAUCGGGUAUCGGGUACCCUAUACCCGAAAAUUUCGGUAUCGGGGUCGGUAUCGGGUAUUUUGGGUACUAAAAGAUCGGGUAUCGGGUAUACCCGAAAAUACCCGAUUUUUUCAAUUAAUUAUAUAAUUAAAUUUAAUUUUAAACUUUGAAGUUUGAAGAACAACCCUAUUCAGCCACUCUCCACUCCCAAGUCCAACACCCACUGACCCACCCGCCGCACACUCCCGACUCGGCAGUCGGUAGUCCAUAAGUCCCNUUAAGGAGUUUACUUAACAUCUUUUAACCUUAGGGUGGCUCCAAUCAUAAACUACAUUUUCAAUUUUUAAAGUGCCACAUCAGCUUUAGAAACUCACCUACUUUUUCUCUUACAUCUCCUCCAACAAUAAAUCAGUUUCUUACUUUUUAUAGGUCCCACGUACUAUAAUACUUACUCCAUUUUUAUAUAUCUAUAUAUACAUUAAUUGAUGAAAUGGGCCCCUCCACUAUCGGUUGAAAUCAACAAAAUUGAGAAAAUGAGACCCGCGUUGUCAGUCAAAAACUGGUUAUCGCGCAGAUGCAGGCACAGAUCGUGAUGCUCAUGCGAUCAUAUCGACCACCGAAUAGCUCUGAUGCCUCGAAUGCGACUCACCCGGACCUUUGAUUAUCUCGACUCUCUUUUGAUGUAGACUUUAUUUCAUGAAUUGUCACUAUGAAUAUUGAAUUUCUAAACUUGUGAACUUAGUUUGAUGACUUUCUAGUUAAUACUAUUUGAUGGCUAUUUUUGAUUAGUUCGAUGGAUAUUGUUAUAUAAUUGGAAAACAUGAAAUAUAAAAUUUUUUAAAAAAAAAUAAAAAAACAACUAUCGAAAAUACGGUCGUUAGUGGUAUACCGGAGACUAACGAUCGUUUUUUCGAUCGUUACAUAACGACCGUACUUCAAAUGGUCGUUACACCUCCAGUCGCCGUAAACUGUAAAAUCUACUUUCAAUGACCGAACAAAAGAUGGUUGUUAUACCUCCGACGAACUCAACGUCGACCAUUUCGUUUCAGUCGUUAGCCUCCCCGCCUUGUCGCCAUUUGACGACGGUCCGGAGCUAUUAAAGACCGAAAAAACGAUCGUUAAGAAGCCAGACGGCGAUUGAAAUGGCGACCACCCGGAACGGUCGUUAAAUCGGUCGUUAGGACUUUUAAUGACCAUUUUCUGGGAUCCAACGACAGUUUUUUCGGUCGUUACGAUCGCUUUUUCUUGUAGUGUUAUGCGCCCCUUUUUUAAGUUUAUGUGUCAUUUUUUCUUCAUAUUUAUGAGCUCUUUUCAUUUUUGCGCUUUCAUAUGUUUUUUACGCCUAUUUUGCUUAAUUAACAUUAUUAAGACACAUGAGUUAGACAAAUAAAUAUUAGGGCAUAUUCAUGGGAAUUAAGCUAGGCGCAUAAUUAAAUGUGAGAGUGAGCAUUAAUUAUGUCAUUUUAUGACUUCAAUGACCGGCUGUUGAGGGAAUAAAUUCAGCAAAUGGCACAUUUUGUAUUGUGUUUGUCUGUCACACAAGUGGUUCUCAUAAAUUAUUUAAUAAUUUACAUGUAGGUAUUUUGGAAAGUGGUAUUUUAGAGAGAAAUGAGAGCUAAUAAAAAUAAAUUUUAACACUAUUAAUAAUCAUCAAUUAUUCAUCUCAGAUUUAUUUUUUUAUAAUUUUUACAUUGAGUUAAAGAUCUUCUCGCAAUCUUUAAUUCAACAUUCAUAUUGAAAACUUUUUCAUGAAUCAAAAUUAACGAUUUUUUGAAUAAAAUUAAAAUAGAAAAAAAAGUAAGAAAUUUUGGAGGGAAAAAGUAAGAGGGAGAUCCUCUUACUCGAGAAUUAUAUAUAAACUGUGGCUAUUUUAUCAUAGUAGAAUUGCUAUUUUUUAAGUUAGUUUAGUUUUUUUUUGUAACGGAAAGUUAGUUUAGUUUUGUUUGAACUUUAUGGCUUAGUUUCAUUUUCACAAUUUAAAAAAAAAAUCUGAAUGAAAUUAUGGCUUAGUAGACUUUGUCGUUGUGAUUGCGCGUUAAAACUCAAAACAAUGAGCCCAAAGCUCAACACUUAUGUGUGUGAGAGAGAGAGUAAUGCCAGAGAAAUUUCAUACCCCAUUUCUUGGUUGUUACUUGUGACCGAAAAUAACAGGUCAACGACUUAAAAAAUUCAAUAUAGGUCUUUAAAUAAUCUUAUUUAGCUGACUUCUAGGGUCCGUUUGAUUUGCAGUUUAGAAUUGAUUAGGAUUAAAAUUAUCUUGAAAAAUUAGUGUGGAUUAGUGUGGAUUUAUACUAUUUCAUGGGUGUUUGAUAUCAUGGCUACUUAAUCCUAUAUUGUGUUUGAUAUCCAUAGGAUUAUGUUGGAUUAUAUUAUCUAAUACCAAAACUAUCCUCAUAUAAUUUUAAAAAUACCAUGUGUGUCCACCAUUACUUGGGCAUUUGCAUCGAUAUGCGUGAGGAAGGGUAGCAGAAUUUUUAUCCAACUUCGCAGUAUUAAAGUUAUCCAAGGGGGGAG
rnacentral:lncRNA from 1 species